rnacentral:rRNA from 1 species
AUUGAACGCUGGCGGCAUGCCUUACACAUGCAAGUCGAACGGCAGCACGGGAGCAAUCCUGGUGGCGAGUGGCGAACGGGUGAGUAAAGUAUCGGAACGUACCCAGUCGUGGGGGAUAACGUAGCGAAAGUUACGCUAAUACCGCAUACGAUCUAUGGAUGAAAGCGGGGGAUCGCAAGACCUCGCGCGAUUGGAGCGGCCGAUAUCAGAUUAGGUAGUUGGUGGGGUAAAGGCUCACCAAGCAGACGAUCUGUAGCUGGUCUGAGAGGACGACCAGCCACACUGGGACUGAGACACGACCCAGACUCCUACGGGAGGCAGCAGUGGGGAAUUUUGGACAAUGGGCGAAAGCCUGAUCCAGCCAUGCCGCGUGCAGGAUGAAGGCCUUCGGGUUAUAAACUGCUUUUGUACGGAACGAAAAGGUUUGGCCUAAUAAGCUGAGCUCAUGACGGUACCGUAAGAAUAAGCACCGGCUAACUACGUGCCAGCCGCCGCCGUAA